rnacentral:rRNA from 1 species
CCUACGGGAGGCAGCAGUGAGGAAUAUUGGUCAAUGGGCGCGAGCCUGAACCAGCCAAGUAGCGUGAAGGAUGACUGCCCUACGGGUUGUAAACUUCUUUUAUCAAGGAAUAAAGUGAGGCACGUGUGCCUUUUUGCAUGUACUUUAUGAAUAAGGAUCGGCUAACUCCGUGCCAGCAGCCGCGGUAAUACGGAGGAUCCGAGCGUUAUCCGGAUUUAUUGGGUUUAAAGGGAGCGUAGAUGGGUUGUUAAGUCAGUUGUUAAAGUUUGCGGCUCAACCGUAAAAUUGCAAUUGAUACUGGCAGUCUUGAGUACAGUUGAGGUAUGCGGAAUUCGUGGUGUAGCGGUGAAAUGCUUAGAUAUCACGAAGAACCCCGAUUGCGAAGGCAGCUUACUAAACUGCGACUGACAUUGAUGCUCGAAAGUGUGGGUAUCGAACAGGAUUAGAUACCCCAGUAGUC